AAUAUUACGCAAUGGGGGGAACCCUGACGCAGCAACGCCGCGUGAGCGAGGAAGGCCUUCGGGUCGUACAGCUCUGUCUAGAGGGAUGAUAGUGACAGUACUCCUGGAGGAAGCCCCGGCUAACUACGUGCCAUCAGCCGCGGUAAUACGUAGGGGGCAAGCGUUGUCCGGAUUUACUGGGCGUAAAGGGCGCGUAGGCGGUAGCAUAAGUCAGAUGUGAAAGUCCAGGGCUCAACCGUGGAAUUGCAUUUGAAACUGGAGGGCUUGAGUAUCGGAGAGGGUAGUGGAAUUCCCAGUGUAGCGGUGGAAUGCGUAGAUAUUGGGAGGAACACCAGUGGCGAAGGCGACUACCUGGACGAAAACUGACGCUGAGGCACGAAAGCUAGGGGAGCAAAC
rnacentral:rRNA from 1 species